GGUGGCUCAGUGGUAGAGCUCCUGCCUUGAAUGCAUUAGGCCCUGGGUUCGAUUCCUCAGCACCA
rfam:Dipodomys ordii contig_41341, whole genome shotgun sequence.